GGUUGAUUGGAAGAUUUGAAAGGUAAAUAAAUGUAAAAAGAGAAGGAAAAAGGAAAGCGAAAUGGUGUGAAAAUAAAUAUUUAAGAGAGAAAUAGAUUAAUGGAAGAUGGCCCAGAUCAUGGAGAUUUAAAGAUGUGAAAGCAUCGAGGAGUGUAACGGAAAGACUUGGCGGCCGGAAUGGCAGGGAAUUUGAAAAUGUAUAAAGACAAACCCUGUUGUCCUUGCGUUGGUGCCACAAUCACCAUCUCUUUCUCUCUCGUUCCACUUCCAAAGCUUUCUCUAUCCACAAGACUUCAUUUCAUUCUCUAUUCAGUGUGUGUGUGUGUGUGUCUGUAUGUAUGCGUGAGUGUGUGUGAGUGUGUGUGUGUGUGUGUGUGCGUGUGUGUGUGUGUGUGACAGCUUUGCAAGGCGAGCUGAAAAGGAGAAAACUGGCCAGGACAAGGUGAGCUGGUGGGGAUAAAUACUUGGUUAAGUUAGCAGGGUACAAGGAAAUGGGGCCCCGGGAGUAUUUCUGUACAAAACUAUGCAUUGUUUUUGCUGAUUUUUUUCAUUUUUUUUUACAAAAAAAAAGAGAAA